AUAUAUGUUGAUAUAUAUCAUAUACUUCAGUUAUCCAUCAAAACAUCAGCCAACAUAGAGAAAAAAAAUGUGAGGGAGAGAAAUAGAGAGGCAGCCAUGGUUCUUGAAGUUUAAAGGUUAGUUUUCCAAUUUUCUUCCGUGAAUUAAUUAUAUACGGUGUACCUUAAGUACGUGGAUACGUAUAUAUGUAUUUUAAGACCUUAAUGGAAGUAAAAAUCCAGCUUUGCAAUUGGAAUUUGGAAGAGAAAAUAAGAGAAAACGCUAGUUAACAAACCCGUUUUUGGAAGGGACAGUGAUUAGUAAUAUUGGUAUAACGUCUUGUGUACAAAUUCGUUUUGAGUGAUUUAAUAUGUUUUGGAAAGGUAUUUCGUGGAUCUAUAACUUUAAUUCAGACUCAAAAAUCCAGUUUUACAUGUAUCAGCUCGAAAUAUGGUGAUGAAGCGUAGAGGAGGUACUGCUCAGAUUUGGUUUUGGAAAUUCUACACGGACAGCUGACGUAAAUCCUGUUUCCCUCCAUUAGCCCUUCGAAACGAAGCGAAGAGGUAAAACAGUAAGCUGUCCAGAUUUCACAUUUUGGAUAGUUUUGGCGAGUUUGACAAGUUUAACAUAAGGUUCAAAGGACGGCGAAGCAAGCAGGAUAAGGAAUAAUUCAGACAAGGUACAGAUGCAGGUUUUGGGAGUCUGUCAGCUUAGGAUUCCAUGCAGCUCAACUGGAAGAGGCUCCAUUGUAUCGGGGCCUAGUUUUUGAUACUGUCCACAGAUGUAUAAAAAUUAUUUCAUCUAUUUAGGGGUAUGGCGGGGGCCCUGUCCCGCCAUAUGUUGUCAUUUAUAUGUUUAGAGGUCUGCAGACAUGUAUAUGUGGGUUGUGUAUGUCAGUUUGAUUCAGCUGGGUCUACAUGAUAUGUGAUAAAUGUUAUUAUGUUAUGGCAGCCUUGUC